GGAGUCAGAGUGCUUUCAUAUGCCUCCGUUGACCCAGAUCCCGAGCCCCACGAGGACGGACGCUCAUUUGUUCUGGACCUUGUUCUAUGAAUCUCUACAGAUGCCUCUUGAUUCAUAUCCUGUAUCCUCUCCUGUAAUACGCUGGUGAACCUUGGAGCUCUACUAUGAGCACGCGGAUGAUGGAAUGCCUACCCACAGACUACUAGGCUUUAUUGAGACCGUACCGAGCACGUGCUUUGAAAUGUGCAGAUUAUCACAAGACCGUCUGUUCCUUAUGGCUGAACCCAUUCUUCCAUAUUUUCAGAGAAUCUUCAACAUGUCUCAUGGAGAAAAUUAUGUAUCGAGUCAAUGCAGUCUCUUAUUCUGAAGCCCACAGUGGAGAAACUGGAGCAUCUUGCAUUUUUGCUUCCUAUGCAGCUUUUGUAAUACGAAAGCCAAUGAUUAUGGUACAGUUGGAGACAUGGAUGUUUUGCUGAAUAUUAACCUACAUACCACUCAAGUGCAUUCCUUGUGUGAAAGAACUCUGAUGCAAUAGAAGAUCCCUGAACUCUGAAUCCUGGGAUGCAGAACACCCAUGGUCCAAAGGCGAACUGAAGAGAAAGAGGGAUUUUAUAUUUAGAUAUAUAAUAUUGAUUUUUUAAAUCAAGCAAUAAACUAUAAAUAAGCUUUA